rnacentral:sRNA from 1 species
UUUUCACAAUUUCUAAAUCCUUUUUAAUAAAGAUAUAAACAAACAUCAACCCGCUACGCACGGAAUUAAAACUAGUUUUGAUAAACUAAAAUGAAAUCCCCAGCGUCGAUGUAUGCUUCUAUAAUAGGUUAAGAAAAGGAAUGGAAGGUGGAGAAAAAGGAAAAAUGGUUUAUUACCCAACCAUUAACCAACCAAGCUUUUCUUAUACUAAUUUGUAUGUCUGUGAGGAGAAACAUCUGGAAGCUCUUAUAGAUAGAAAAGCUUGUGCAGAAGGGGUGGGGGCAAGUGGUGGCAGUGGAGGAGAUAUGAUAUGUAAAGCAUUCACUUGAUGCUCUUUUCUUGGUUUGUUACGUGAACUGUCGGCUUUUAAGCCCUGUACUCUUGAUUUUAGCAAGUGAAAUAAGAUAUAAUAUUAGUUUCAUGUUUACAUCUUUCUUACCUUUUUGUCGUAUUAUUUUCUAAUACCCUUCACCUAUAGAUGAGGUUUUCUUUGAUUAUUAUUCUGACAGGUUAUCACUGCUAAUUAUGCCAUCAAAAGUGGAAAAGGAGAGCGAUUACUUCAUCCGUUCCUAAAUUCAAUCAGUCACAAUAACAGUCACUAUACCUGGAGCUAACAGAAAGAAUAAACUCAUUUAAACACAGUGGAAGGUGACACUCUCCAGAAGAUAAAAUUCACAAUUCAUAUGCAUAAAUCAGCAAAUCUCUCAAGCAAAUUAAGCACACCUUUACAGACCUUCUUGGGGGAAAGAAGAUUGGACCUGCUAGAGAGCAGAGUAGGUGCUACUUCUUUUAGCGUAUGAAGAUUGAUGGUGUACUUGGAAAAUGGUGUUGUCUUCUAGUCAACAAGCAAACUCUGAAGCUUCACCAUGCUAAGUCCUUAUUUCUUCAUUCAAAAACACCAUAAUGCAACAUUUCCUCCUGGUCGCAAUAAAAGUCAUGCACUUUUGAACUUGUGCAUUCUUAUGUGUGGUGACCUAUUAAUGACUCUACACACGGGGCUAUGUGGUUUGUGAGAUCAAUUGAUGACUGUACUUGUGUGACGUGAUUGUCUUUUGAAGAAUAAAUAUAAGGUUUGUUGAAUAUUUGUCUAUUUCCUCCCUCUUUUUAAAAUCAAUAUGGAAAGUUUAUUAAGAGUGUUCGAUCUAAUGA